GCCUGCCCGGUGAUUAAUUUUUAACGGCCGCGGUAUCCUAACCGUGCAAAGGUAGCGCAAUCACUUGUUCUUUAAAUAAGGACUAGUAUGAAUGGCGACAUGAGGAUCAACUUGUCUCUCAUGAUAAGCCUAUGAAACUGAUCUUCCAGUACAAAAGCUGGAAUAAAAUCACAAGACGAGAAGACCCUGUGGAGCUUCAAACUGCAACUCAACCAGAAAUGAUACUGCAGUUUUUAGUUGGGGCGACUUUGGAGCAAAACUAAACCUCCAAAACACCUAAACCUGAGGCCGACGGGCCAAAUCACCACCCACUGACCCAAUAUAAUUGACCAAUGAACCAAGUUACCCCAGGGAUAACAGCGCAAUCUUCUUCUAGAGUCCCUAUCGACAAGAAGGUUUACGACCUCGAUGUUGGAUCAGGAUACCCAAAUAGUGCAGCCGCUAUUAAAGGUUCGUUUGUUCAACGAUUAAUAAUCCCACGUGAUCUGAGUUCAGACCGG
rnacentral:rRNA from 1 species